CAGAGACUGCAAGCGUUAUUCGGAUUCACUGGGCGUAAAGGGUGCGCAGGCGGCCAUGUGUGUGAGGCGUGAAAGCCUGGAGCUUAACUCCAGAAUUGCACCUCAAACUACAUGGCUAGAGCAUUGGAGAGGGUAGCAGAAUUCAUGGUGUAGCAGUGAAAUGCGUAGAUAUCAUGAGGAAUACCAGAGGCGAAGGCGGCUACCUGGACAAUUGCUGACGCUCAGGCACGAAAGCGUGGGGAGCAAAAGGGAUUAGAUACCCCUGUAGUCCACGCCCUAAACGGUGCACACUAGGUCUUGGCGGAUUCGACCCCCCAGGGCCCAAGCUAACGCGUUAAGUGUGCCGCCUGAGGACUACGGCCGCAAGGCUA
rnacentral:rRNA from 1 species